CUCGCUCGACGCGCGGCCCGCCGUCGAUCAGGCGCGGAAGCAGCCAACGAAGCGCGGCAGGUGCAGGUGGUGGUGCUGGUGGUGGUGGUGCGCUCCGCCGCCGCUUGCCAGGGCGCCGUCGAGGUCCACGAGGUGCUGGGCGCAGCUGGUCCCGCGGAGGUCCUGGCCGAUGAGGUGCUCCACCUGGACGAAGCGGUCGACGCGGCAGGGGAUGGCGAGGGCGCCCUGGUGCCGGAAGCCGUACUCGCGCUCGGCCUCCUCCAGCAGCGCGCCGAAGAGCGGGUGCUUGAGGUGGCCCAGCGGGACCGCGAACCGGCGCUGCUCCUCGCCCUCCAGGCCCACGCGCACCGUCACGCACCCCUUGGGCGCCACCGCCGCCAGCUGCUGCUGCUGCUGAUGAUGAUGAUGCCUGCCGGGCAUGAUGGUCACCAGGAAGGAGCUCGGUGUUCUUUUUGCUUGCUUGUGGUGGUUGCUCGAUCAGGAAGGAGGACGAAGAAGCCGGCCGGCCGGGGGCUGAUGGUGGUUACAGGCAGGAAGAGAAGGGCCAGGGGUCGGAGCUGGAGAUGGCGAGGCGGAAGACGGUGAGGGAGGAAUCGCGGAGGGAGGUGGGCACGUUGGACAUGGCCUACUCCUCCACUUUGUCUCUUCUCAACGACGACGACGGCGGUGAUUCGGGUCGGGUCUGCCUCUGCCUCCCUUGUGGAUUCUGUUUGUUUGCGG
rnacentral:misc_RNA from 1 species